UAUGCCCACCCAUUAGAGGAUGCUAUCAAAUUUAAAAGAACUUAAUUAGCAACAAAUUGGCAUUUAGUGGAGCCCAAAAUUUAGGCUUGGUUGCCUUUUUUUGAUUAACUAAACCUUUGUUUCUAUAGCAAGCAUCCAAAAGCUAUGGACUGGAAAAUACAUGUCCAUAUUCUCAGGAAACCAGUAAGGCUUCUUUGCAGAAGGAAAGAUGGAGAAAUGCUGGAGUUGUUCAAAUGCAAAAAUUUCUUCCCCCUCAGAGGUGUCUGUGGAUACCCCCAAUACAUUCUGCCUGUUCUCACUGCUAUUGAUCUUGCCUCUUCAAACAGCCCUUUCAGUGGUGUGGGGGACAGAGCCUUUGGGCUUGGAUUUCACACCCCUCAGGGUAACUGAGAGCAAGAUUUGCUCAGUUGUUGAACAGCACAACUGGAUAUCAGUAACCUGUCCCACAGAGGCCUUUCUUCUGGAAUCCCUUGAUUAAGCUGAUGACUGUUUCUCCAUUCUGAGCUUUAGGUGGUAACUUAGGCUGCAAUUUAUACCAUCUUUGGGAAACCCAAAUACCUUGGAGGGUUUCUUUGCUGAAUAUGAUUGUCAGUAGUGUGGGACGAGAUGAUCUUUAUGAGCACUUUUAACAACAGGAGCAAAUAACAACCUACAAAAAAGCUUUGGCUUUGAAAACCCUCUCCUUCCUCUGUCUUUGCUCAGCCUGCCCAGCUGUUUGUCAAUUGUGAAAGACAUACACAGAGCAAAGACUCUACUAAAAUGCAGCUGCAAGACUAUGGUGGGAUUCCUACCAAGUUGCUACUUCUAUUUUUUUCAGUAACAUUCAAAAGAUAGAGCGUAUUGCAAAUCCCAGGUCAGGAUUUGACCAUAGAGGUGGCAGCAGCUGUGCUGGAAGGACACAGAGAUGCCCCUGGAUGUGGCCCUCAAGUCGGCUCAUGUGGGGUGGAGUUCCAAAGGCAGCAAAAAGAGCUCUGCAGAGCAAUUCCAUCAGCCUCUGAGGCAGAAGAAUGAAGCCACUGGUCUCAAACGGAUUUCACUUGCCUGAAAUAAGUACUACACAUAAGCAUGUUUCAGCGUUUGAGCUGAAGGUUCAGUCCUGAUGUUGGUGAGACCAGCAGAGACACCUCGCACAGCUUCUUAACAAAAACACCAAAUCCAAGGCUUUUUCCCAAAAAAUUGUGCACAUCCAGCUUCUACUGCUCUGUGGCAAUUGAAAUACAGACUUCAGGAAGGUCAGUUCAAAUCCAGUGUGAUACAAAUGGAGACAGUAAUUUAUUUACUUGUCUGGAUCCUAGAAAAUUCUUUGCAUCAAAGACAAUAUAGAGAUACCCAUCUCAAAUUCUGUUUUCCCAAGAAACAAGGAAGACAGGGCAUGGGUAAACUGUUUAGUUAAAGACCCUCUCUGGACCAAGGGUGGUUGGUUUAAAUAAAUAGAGAUUUUUAAGCAGCGCUAUAAGAAUAUAUCUUUUCCCAGACUGUGUGUUUGUAAAUAUUAAACAUUAAUUGAGAAAGACUGUUACCUAUGACCUGGGGAAAGCUAGAAUUAUUGAAGGGUGGGUUGUGGGGGGGUUGUCUGGUUUAUUGCUUGACUAAUCAAAACAUUUCUGUGCCAUUAAUUAUUCUCAAUGACUAAGCCUGUAUGUGGGAUAAAGACUUAAAAAUUAUCUGAUUUGCAGCUCUUUUCUAUUUCAUUUUGUAGGUAGUGUAAGUGAUUCUAUGUCAUGAGAAAAUGUAUACAAAACUGAUAAAUCCAUAAAGUAUUUGACCUUUAAUCAAUCCUAAUAUUUGCAAUCCACAGAGCCUUCUUAAAUGCCUGUAACCUUGGCCCUUCCACUCCCAUUCAUCACAAUUAGUGUUUGAGCUGUCUGAUGCAAUGCACAAAGCAUUGCAUGUUGACAUUCAAUAUUUUAUCAUUAAUAAAAUAAAAUUUAAAAAAAUAAAAGAAGUAAGAAACAUUCCAAAUAUUUUUGCUGGUUUGAUACUUUCCAGUGCAGUGCCAGGAGAGGAAAAGGGACAGUUGUGAUUUAUGUUAGUGUUAGCAGACAUUGUUAAUUAGUGUUUACUGUUAGCAGAAUGCAGACGUAGUUGGCUCUCCAAACAAGUUGAUUCUUGAAGUUAUGCUAAUUUUCAGUGAUUGUUAACCUUUUCAUACCGAGAAUACUGUUUGUAAAAUCCUUAGGUAAACAGUAUGGAUUGGAUUUUAAACAAGAGUUUAAGGAAUCUGGAGCAGGAGCAUGUAUGAAUUAUAAGAGAGCUUUGGACCAAACCACGCAGAUCUCAUUCAUGCUCUAAUACCUGAGUUAAUGCUAGUAAUGCUAGCAUGAGUUAAUGCUAGAUUGUUACAAGAAAACUAACAUUUUCUUCUAUCUCCCAAGACUUUUAUUUUUGUCUUGAUCAAAGAACACUGCAGUGAUGGAUGGAAAUAUUAACAAGAUUUACCCUCAGAGAGGUUGGCUUCCGUAGGCAGCUGAAUGAUUCAAUGCAGGGAACACUGGACUCCUCAUGAAGGAACUUGAAAUUGUGCUCUGCAUCCAGACAGUUGCUUUAUUUUUUGGGGGGUCCUUUUACUCUCUAUGUGCCUUGUCAGUAAAAAUUUCAAAACUCUUUUUCUUGGACAGUCUACUUUCACACACGUUCCUGUGUCAAGUACAAAGAAUAACACAUUAGGAUUGAGAUAAGUAUGAUAAAAAAAAUAUUACUGAAAUUUCCUCUUGUAGCAUUGUGUUUCACAUCACCUAUGAUUCACAACCCCCAUGAGGGAGUAGGUGCUGCCCAGGAUUUAUGCUGAGAGUGAACUUAUAUUUCCUUUGCCUUUGGAAUGAAAUAUGAGUCCUUGGAUCUCUGCUAUAUAAAAGCAACAUUUGGAUGUGUUAUCAUACAGCUAUUCAUCCAAUUUCAGACCUGUAAUAUGCUCCCCAGACCUCUCACACCCAGUACAAAAAUAUUCUUCCACUGGAAUCAUAGAAACAUUUAUGUUGGAAAAGACCCCCAUUAACCCAGCACUGCCAAGUCCAUCGCUGAACAUGUCCCCAAGUGGCACAUCUAUACAUCUUUUAAAUCCCUUCAGGGAUGGUGACUGCACCACUUGCCUGGGCAGCCUGUUCCUUGCUUGACAACCCUUUCAGUGAAGGAAUCUUUCCCAAUAUCUAAGAGUAUUCUUUACCCUAUUUUAUGUAUAUAUAUUUAUGUAUAUAUUUUAUAUAUAUACAUAUAUAUCUUUAUGUGCACACUUCUAUAAAUAUGCAUCUAUAUCUAUAUAUCUUUCAGAAUAAGGAGGUGUAAUGACUAUUUCAACAUCAUAAGGUCUAAAGUGCAAAGAAACAGCAACAUUAAAACUUUUAGACAUGUAAGUUCCAUCUUUGCUGGUAGGGUUUUAUGUUCUCUUUCUCUAUCUUGAAGGUUUUUCUUAGCAUAGUUUUUAUAAGUCUUAACAAUUUAUUAGCAGGAGUUAUACUUUUAAUGGAAAUCAUUAAAAAAAAAUGACAUGGGAAUAUGAUCCAAGUCCCCAUUCUUUCCCAGUGAUAUUUCUCUUUUUUUUCCCAGCUGUUUUGCCAAGGCAAAUAAUGUGAUUAUAACCGAGCACUGAUGUGUAAGAAUUAGCAUGGUUGGCCUCUGUGAUGCUGGAUGGGAGAAUGAAUAUGAUUUCAUUUUUACUGCAGUUACCACACAAACUCUUUCUGCCUUAAAAAAAAAAAAAAAUUAUUUUUUUUUUAUUUUUCCCCCUAAUGCAAUUUUCACAGGAAUGUCAUGGAAAGAUUUACAGACUUUUUGGCCAGGUUGACCACUAGUCUCUCUGGCAUCCUGACUCUGUUGACAAGACUGUUUGCAAAGUUUCAGCCUGCUCCAGAGAGCUCAGGGAUCACAUCAUUUGAGUGGGAAAUAUGGGCUGUAACAUUAUUGUACAAGGGGUACUCAAAGGCUAAAGCUCCAGACCUUCAGUUCUACACAAAAGAGUCUCUGAGAGAAAGUUGUAGGUGCAGAGGCUGAAAAAAAUAGUUCAUUCUGCUCUCUUUAGUGGAACUGGAGAGUGCUAAAGGAGCUGAUAACCCAUUCAUGCAUAAAAAUUGUGUCAGGAAUGAAAUUCUGCUGAGUACUGAAUAUAGUUAACUUUUAGAAGAAAAUAGCUAAUCAUCAGAACUCGUGUUUUCUACCAUUCAUGCAGAGAACAUAAAGUUCAAGAGGUCCCAAAGAACAUCCGUGACUUCAUCUCUGCACAAAACCUCAAUUGUACAGAUUUUGCACAUUUUUACAAGGCUUAAUCAGAUAAUACAUGUAGCUUUGUUUCAAUCUGGCAUAAAAUGGAAUGGAAAAGUUAUUUGUCCCUAUCUAUGAUGAUAAGUCAUAUCAUGAACAUAGCAGUCCGUGAUGGAAAGUCUGUAAAGAGGUCACCUUAACAGAAAUCCCAGCUAUGAGACUGAAAAUAGCUAAAUUUAGGUUGGAAAUAUUUUCACAGUUUUGUGGAACAAUUAGGUCAUCUCCAUAAAAUUAUGUAGGAUGCUAGAAGUAGUCUCAGUUAUUUACCAGCACACAUCUGUUUUGAGACAGGGGCUAAUUGUGUGGAUGGUCUAGGACUCCACUUGUGUUUCCAUAAACACUUAAACACUGCCCUGAGGAGAGGAACACCUAAAAGCAGCUUUUUUACCAAGCUGCUGGAGAGACUUUGACUGAAGAUCUGACAUAUAUUGAAGUGCUGUGGUCUGUUCCUUCCUCUCUUUGACUUUGCAGACAUAUACAUCCUUUAAGAAACAUUUUUAUUCGUCCCAUGUUUUAGGGACUAAUAAAAAAAUGUUGCCAAUAUUGUGAAUGAGUACUAUUUCAUAGCUUUUGAUUGGCCAGCAUUCAGUUUUUGGCUGAAACUGUUUUUUUGCAGCUUAAUGUCAGAGAUGCAGUGAGACUUGUCAUAGGCCUGUAUUCAUUGGUGUCUUUGUACAUGGAACACAGAAGUGCUACUGUGGUGCUCAUGUAUUGCUGCACGAAGUUGUGCCAGCUCUCCAGGAGCAGAUCUGUGAAAAAUGCCACUAGAAGUGUUUAUAUGGGAAGUGAAUAGAUGGGGAAUGAAUCCCACUAUCUGAUAGAGUCCUCCAUCCAGGCAGAUGUUACAAUGGUGUAUUUGAGCCUCUGCAUGUGGCAGUCAUUUCCCCAAAGUCUUCCUUCUUUUAAAUCCCUGCCCCUCUGCACACAGGAACUGUUCAAGGUGAGCCAGGGCACCCUUUCUGAGGACAAGAGAAGUGUUUGGGAUGUUAAUAAUAGUGUUGCCUGAGUAAAUGAGUACGGUUCAUCUCUCACACUUGACUCUUUUCUGCCCUGAACACAUUUCCUUAGGGCUGGGAGUCGGUAUCCGUUCCCUUCCCGUUCUCUGCCUCCUGUUUCCUCUCAUACCCGACACUUACUUGAAACAGCCAGCCAUAUACAGACGCUGGAACUGUUUAUCUUUGUAGAGUGUGCAUUAUCUAUGCUGUUCAGCUUUUUGCCUUAAAUCUUUUGUGCCUCCUUUUUCUGAACUUGACUCAUUUCCUUGAGUCUUGUUGUUUAGCAGCCUUUUUAUCCAGAUAC
rnacentral:lncRNA from 1 species